AAUGUAUGACGCUGUUAACUUUUUACCCAAUGUUUGACCAUUCGUCUUAUUUAAAAAGUUUAUAUAAUUAUUAUUUAUUUUAUUGUGACUUGAUUCAUCAUCAAAUGUUCUUUAAGCAUGACAUAAAUAUUUUUAUAUUUGCAUAAAAUUUUUGAAUAAAACAAAUAGUCAAACGUUGGUCGAAAAGUCAACGGUGUCAUACAU
rnacentral:pre_miRNA from 1 species